rnacentral:tRNA from 1 species
GCCUGAGUGACGGAAUUGGUAGACGUAGCGGACUCAAAAUCCGCCGGUGUUUGCACCUUGGGGGUUCGAGUCCCCCCUCAGGCA